rnacentral:rRNA from 1 species
AUCCAAGCUACUAAGGGUCUACGAUGGAUGCCUUGGCGCUAGGAGCCGAUGAAGGACGCGGCAGGCUGCGAAAAGCCCCGGGGAGCUGUCAAGCGAGCUUCGAUCCGGGGAUGUCCGAAUGGGGAAACCCGUCUGGGGUAAUGCCCAGUCACUCCGGUCUGAAUAUAUAGGACCGGCAGAGGGAACCGGGGGAAUUGAAACAUCUCAGUACCCCGAGGAACGGAAAGCAAAAGCGACUUCCCGAGUAGCGGCGAGCGAAAGGGAAUGAGCCUAAACCGGUGUGGUGGAAUAGCCCGGUGGCGUUGCCACACCGAGGUCGUGGGACCUACCCGACGGGACACCGGAACCGUCAAGGAGUUACAAAAUCGAGCGUUAGCUGAACCUGUCUGGAACGACAGGCCGCAGAAGGUAACAGCCCUGUAAGCAAAGGCGCAUCGAUCUCCUGGUGGAGUUCCCAAGUAGCACGGGGGAUAUCCCGUGUGAAUCUGCGAGGACCACCUCGUAAGGCUAAGUACUUCCUAGCGACCGAUAGUGAACUAGUACCGUGAGGGAAAGGUGAAAAGCACCCCGGUGAGGGGAGUGAAAGAGAACCUGAAAUCGUGGACCUACAAGCAGUGGGAGGGGAUCUAUUGAUCCCUGACCGCCUGCCUUUUGAAGAAUGAGCCGGCGAGUCAGCGAUACGUGGCAAGGUUAAGGCGUGUGCCGAAGCCGCAGCGAAAGCGAGUCUGAAUAGGGCGUCGAGUCGCGUGUUCUGGACCCGAAUCCGAGUGAUCUAUCCAUGGGCAGGGUGAAGCGAGGGUAAGACCUCGUGGAGGCCCGAACCCACCAAGGUUGAAAACUUGGGGGAUGACCUGUGGAUAGGGGUGAAAGGCCAAGCAAACUCGGUGAUAGCUGGUUCUCCCCGAAAUAGCUUUAGGGCUAGCGUUGUAUGUUUCGCCAUGGGGGUAGAGCACUGAUUGGGCUAGGGGGCCAACAAGCUUACUGACCCCAGUCAAACUCCGAAUCUCAUGGCUUUAGAGUACAGCAGUCAGACUGCGGGGGAUGAGCUUCGUAGUCGAAAGGGAAACAGCCCAGACCGCCAGCUAAGGCCCCUAAAUCCGAACUUAGUGGGAAACGAUGUGGAGUCGCCCAAACAGCCAGGAGGUUGGCUUAGAAGCAGCCAUCCUUGAAAGAGUGCGUAACAGCUCACUGGUCGAGUGAUUCUGCGCGGAAAAUGUAACGGGGCUCAAGUUCGGUGCCGAAGCUGCGGGAUUCUGUCAUGAGCUCGACCUGUACCUCUAGGGGUGCGGGUCCAGGCGACAGGAUCGGUAGGGGAGCGUCGAGCAGCCAUCGAAGCGGCGGCGUGAGCCAGCCGUGGAGGCUGCCCGAGUGCGAAUGCCGGCAUGAGUAGCGAAAGAGGAGUGAGAAUCUCCUCCGCCGGAUGUCCAAGGUUUCCUGGGGAAGGUUCGUCCGCCCAGGGUUAGUCGGGACCUAAGGUGAGGCCGAAAGGCGUAAUCGAUGGAGAACGGGUUGAUAUUCCCGUACCGCCUCGCGUGCGAUCCGGCCAAAUCCAGUGUGCUAAGGAAAGCCCUUCGGGGCCUACCGACCCCGCUGGUAGUAGGCGAACAAUGGGGUGACGCGGAAGGGUAAGCGGACCCGGGCGUUGGUUGACCCGGGGUAAGUGUGUAGGGAGAGGUCCAGGUAAAUCCGGACCUCACAAUUCCCGAGGCACGAUGCCGAGCCGAUUUAGGCGAAGCCGCUGAACGCCCAUGCCGCCUAGAAAAACCUCUAGUGAGUGCGCAGGCGCCCGUACCCCAAACCGACACAGGUGGACAGGUAGAGAAUACCAAGGCGAGCGAGAGAACCCUGGUUAAGGAACUCGGCAAAUUGGCCCCGUAACUUCGGGAGAAGGGGCGCCCCGGUAAGGUGUAGGACUUGCGUCCGAAGCCUGAGGGGGCCGCAGAGACCAGGCCCAAGCGACUGUUUACUAAAAACACAGGAGCGUGCUAAGUCGCAAGACGACGUAUACGCUCUGACGCCUGCCCGGUGCCGGAAGGUCAAGCGGAGGGGUUAGCCGUAAGGCAAAGCUCUGAAGUCAAGCCCCGGUAAACGGCGGCCGUAACUAUAACGGUCCUAAGGUAGAAGCACUCUUCGUGCAAGAGUGUCUGCCCUCCGCGAUGGCGACAUCGCGGGUUGCAGCUGGCUAUAUGCUGGAAACCCCGUGUAUCCGACAGUACUCAUUCAUGCCACACCCUCUCUGGAGGGCGGAGACAUGAAUAGUGAAAAUCUGAUCGGUGCGGACAAUCAGCAGGAAAGGCCAGGAAUUGAGCAGUGGGUCGUCGGCUUUGUCGACGGCGAGGGCUGUUUUCGAUCUCUACAGAUCGAGCAGACCCGAACCGUUCUUCGAAGAGCACCCACUUGCAACCGCCAAGCGAGCGGACUUUCAGAAGUUCGCACAGAUCGCUCGGUCUAUGGAACGCGGCGAGCACCUCGACAUCGAGGGGCUGGCUCGCAUCUCCAGAAUGACCGAGUCGACGUAUCGCAGAGCGCGGUCUCGAUUUCUGGAAUCCUCAGAGGCCAUACGCCAGCCCACUCAGCAUCGACUGCUGAGUCGAAGAUAUGGUCCUAUCCCCAUGGCGACAUGGGGGCACAAUAGAGCGAAAUUCCUUGUCGGGUAAGUUCCGACCUGCACGAAUGGCGUAACGACUUGGGCACUGUCUCAACCAGGGACUCGGCGAAAUUGCAUUGUGAGUAAAGAUGCUCACUACCCGCGACAGGACGGAAAGACCCCGGAACCUUUACUGCAACUUGGCAUUGGAGUCUGGUAUACGAUGUGUAGGAUAGGUGGGAGACUUGGAAGCGUCGGCGUCAGCCGGCGUGGAGUCGCCCUUGAAAUACCACCCUUCGUAUAGCGGGCUUCUAACCUCGAUCCGUUAUCCGGAUCAGGGACAGUGCCUGGUGGGCAGUUUCACUGGGGCGGUGGCCUCCUAAAGAGUAACGGAGGCGCCCAAAGGUUCCCUCAGCCUGGUCGGCAAUCAGGCGUUGAGUGUAAAGGCACAAGGGAGCUUGACUGCGAGACUUACAAGUCGAGCAGGGACGAAAGUCGGGCUUAAUGAUCCCAUGGUGGCAUGUGGAAGCGCCAUGGCUCAACGGCUAAAAGGUACUCCGGGGAUAACAGGCUUAUCGCGCCCAAGAGUCCAUAUCGACGGCGCGGUUUGGCACCUCGAUGUCGGCUCGUCGCAUCCUGGGGCUGGAGCAGGUCCCAAGGGUCGGGCUGUUCGCCCGUUAAAGCGGCACGCGAGCUGGGUUUAGAACGUCGUGAGACAGUUCGGUCCCUAUCCGUCGCGGGCGUAGGAGAUUUGCGGGGAUCUGUCCCUAGUACGAGAGGACCGGGAUGGACGUACCUCUGGUGUGCCAGUUGUCCUGCCAAGGGCAUGGCUGGUUGGCUACGUACGGACGGGAUAAGCGCUGAAGGCAUCUAAGUGCGAAGCCCACCUCAAGAUGAGAUCUCCCACCGUAAGGGUAAGGCCCCUGGUAGAUGACCAGGUUGAUAGGCCGGAUGUGUAAGCGCAGUAAUGCGUUGAGCUGACCGGUACUAAUCGGCCGAGGGCUUGGAUUUGA